CCCUGGUCAGGUUUCCAUUUCAUAGGUAUUGAAAUUAUAUACACAGUCAAUAUUUCAAACAGAUUAUAGAGCAAAUGAAAUUCAUCCAAAACAACACUAAAUAUUACAAUACAUAAUAUGCUACUCUGACCAAUAUUACACUUUGCCUGAUAUUACAAUACAUAAUAUGCUACUCUUGCUGAUAGGCUUCACGGCUUCACACUUCAUACUUCACCUAUGCAAAAAGAAGAAGAAUAAGAACCUGUAGGCAGCAUCAAACAUAGCUUAUAAGAAGAAUUGACAAUAAGCUCAAUUUAACUAGUCAACAAAUCUUCCAUCUAUAUUUCUAUCAGCAGCACACUAGAUAGGCCACACAUUUAUUCCUACAGUACAGUGAGGAAAAAACAGAUUAUGGUGCCUGCCAAGUGACGUAAAAUCAUAUUAUCAGCAACACACUAGAUAGGCCACACAUUUAUUACAUUUACAUGGUGGUGGCUGGCUGGCAACCAUGGCUGCUAGCUCAUGCUGCCAGUGUGCAUGCACAUCUCCCCGCUGGAACCAACCCAACCCAAACGAAGCAACAGUAGCAAACCACACAUGUACCAGUAAACUUCAGUAUGAAACAAUUCAUCGCCGAAAUAAACUACCAAAUCAUUUCCAAGAAUUUCGAAGAAACCACCUCAAGUCGAUUCAGCCAAGGAUAUUAUUUUCCACAAGCAAAAAACUAUGGUUCAGCUCCCACAUGGGCAUGGGGUUUUUGGGUUUCAAGACACAAAUCACAGAACUGGAUGGGCAUAUAGAAGGUACACUAUGAAUCUACGGCGUCAACCUGCUGGAGUUACUUGUCCUCAGUGAUGAGCAACUGCUUCCUCCUUGGGCUUGGUCAUCUGGACAGCCAAAAAAACAUGCAACUGUAAGAAGAUGGAUUGAUGGUAAAAAGAGUGAAGAAUUGUGAUUCAGUGAACAGAAAAGCAUAUGUACAUUAUAAUACUGCAGACAAGAAAAUAAUAAUCCUAAUAUGAAGAUAAGUGUUUUUCUUAUUGAUGGCUGUAAGAUGGACUGAUCGUAAAAAGAGAGAAGAAUUUUGAUUCAGUGAACAGAAAACAAGACGUUAUUAUUCAGCUGUGAUACUCGAUAUUUGACAAGUAUUGAUAUUUGACAAGUAUGGUUUCAUGUAUACUCCUACAAGUUAGGCAGAG
rnacentral:lncRNA from 1 species